rnacentral:rRNA from 1 species
UGUGUAGGCGGUUUUCUAAGUUUGGUGUGAAAUCUCCCGGCUCAACCGGGAGGGUGCGCCGAAAACUGGGAGACUAGAGUGCGGGAUGGGAGAGUAGAAUUCCUGGUGUAGCGGUGAAAUGCGUAGAUAUCAGGAGGAAUACCGGUGGUGUAGACGGCUCUCUGGACCGCAACUGACGCUGAGACACGAAAGCGUGGGUAAGCAAACA